rnacentral:tRNA from 1 species
UCCCUGGUGGUCCAGUGGUUAGGACUUGGCACUUUGACUGCCAAGGGUGCGAGUUCAGUCCCCAGUCAGGGAA